ensembl:lncRNA
GCAGUUGCUGGCAAUGCUGAUGUCACUUGUAGAAAUGUAGAAGCUUUGGGUGUAUUUGCCGACUCUACUAGGCCUGUUGUUGUUCUCACUGCAUUUCCUGUUGUAGCUAUCCUGAUUGUUUCCGGUUCAUUGCUAAUAGUUGCUGAUGUGGUUGUGCCCAGUGCAGUUGCUGGCAAUGCUGAUGUCACCUGUCCAAAUGUAGAAGCUUUGGGUGUAGUAGGAGACUCUAUUAAGCCUGUUGUUGUUGUCACUGUGUCUUCUGUUGUAGCUAUCCUGAUUGUUUCCUGUUCAUUGCUAAGAGUUGCUGAUGUGGUUGUGCCCAGUGCAGUUGCUGGCAAAGCUGAUGUUUCUGGUGCAAAUGUAGAAGUUUUUGCUGUAGUACCAGACACUCUUCGGCCUGUUGUUGUUGUCACUGAAUCCUCUGUUGUAGUUAUCCUUAUUGUUUCUGGCUCAUUGCUAACAGUUGCUGAUGUGGUUGUGCUCAAUGCAGUUGCUGGCAAAGCUGAUGUCACUGGUAAAAAAGUAGAAGCUUUGGGUGUAGUAGCAGACUCUACUAGGCCUGAUGUUGUUGUCUCUGUAUUUUCUGUUGCAGUUAUAAUGAUUGUUUCCAGUCUAUUGCUAACAGUUGCUGAUGUGGUUGUGCCCAAUGCAGAUGCUGGCAAAGCUGAUGUUACUGGUGCAAAUGUAGAAGUUCUUGCUGUAGUAGCAGACACUAUUCGGCCUGUUGUUGUUGUCACUGUAUUUCCAGUUGUAUCUAUCCUGAUUGUUUCCGGUUCUUUGCUAACAGUUGCUGAUGUGGUUGUGCCCAAUGCAGUUGCUGGCAAUGCUGAUGUCACCGGUGCAAAUGUAGAAGCUUUGGGUGUAGUAGCAGACUCUACCAAGCCUGUUGUUGUUGUCACUGUAUUUUCUGUUGUAGUUAUACUGAUUGUUUCCGGUACAUUGCUAAUAGUUGCUGAUGUGGUUGUGCCCAAUGCAGUUGCAUGUAAAGCAGAUGUCACUGGUACAAACGUAGAAGCUUUGGUUGUAGUAGCAGACUCUACUAGGCCUGUUGUCAUUGUCAAUGUAUCUUCUGUUGUAGUUAUUCUGAUUGUUUCCGGUACAUUGCUAACAGUUGCUGAUGUGGUUGUGCCCAAUGCAGUUGCUGGCAAAGCUGAUGUCACUGGUAAAAAUGUAGAAGCUUUGGGUCUAGUAGCAGACUCUACUAGACCUGUUGUUGUUGUCACUGUAUCUUCUGUUGUAGUUAUCCUGAUAGUUUCUGGCUCAUUGCUAACAGUUGCUGGUGUGGUUGUGCCCAAUGCAGUUGCUGGCAAUGCUGAUUUCACCGGUACCAAGGUAGAAGCUUUGGGUGUAGUAGCAGACUCUACUAGGCCUGUUGUUGUUGUCUCUGUAUUUUCUGUUGCAGUUAUCCUGAUUGUUUCCAGUCCAUUGCUAACAGUUGCUGAUGUGGUUGUGCCCAAUGCAGAUGCUGGCAAAGCUGAUGUUACUGGUGCAAAUGUAGAAGUUUUUGCUGUAGUAGCAGACACUAUUUGGCCUGUUGAUGCUGUCACUGUAUUUCCGGUUGUAGCUAUCCUGAUUGUUUCCGAUUCAUUGCUAACAGUUGCUGAUGUGGUUGUGCCCAAUGCAGUUGCUGGCAAUGCUGAUGUUACCUGUGCAAAUGUAGAAGCUUUGGGUGUAGUAGCAGACUCUACUAGGCCUGUUGUUGUUGUCUCUGUAUUUUCUGUUGCAGUUAUCCUGAUUGUUUCCAGUCCAUUGCUAACAGUUGCUGAUGUGGUUGUGCCCAAUGCAGUUAGUGGCAAAGCUGAUGUCACUGGUGCAAAAGUAGAAGCUUUGGGUCUAGUAGCAGACUCUGCUAGAACUGUUGUUGUUGUCACUGUAUCUUCUGUUGUAGUUAUCCUGAUUGUUUCUGGUUGGUUGCUAACAGUUGCUGAUGUGCUUGUGUCCAAUGCAGUUGACGGCAAUGCUGAUCUCAGUGGUACAAAAGUAGAAUCUUUGGGUGUAGUAGCAGACUCUUUUAGGCCUGUUAUUGUUGUCACUGUAUCUUCUAUUGUAGUUAUCCUGAUUGUUUCUGGCUCAUUGCUAACAGUUGCUGAUAUGGUUGUGCCCAAUGCAGUUGCUGGCAAUGCUGAUGUCACUGGUAAAAUUGUGGAAGCUUUGGGUGUAGUAGCAGACUCUUUUAGGCCUGUUGUUGUUGUCACUGGAUCUUCUGUUGUAGUUAUCCUGAUUUUUUCUGGCUCAUUGCUAACAGUUGCUGAUGUGGUUGUGCCCAAUGCAGUUGCUGGCAAAGUUGAUGUCACUUGUAGAAAUGUAGAAGCUUUGGGUGUAGUAGCAGACUCUACUUGGCCUGUUGAUAUUGUCACUGUAUCUUCUAUUGUAGUUAUCCUGAUUGUUUCUGGCUCAUUGCUAACAGUUCCUGAUAUGGUUGUGCCCAAUGCAGUUGCUGGCAAUGCUGAUGUCACUGGUAAAAUUGUGGAAGCUUUGGGUGUAGUAGCAGACUCUACUAGACCUGUUGUUGUUUUCACUGUAUCUUCUGUUGUAGUUAUCCUGAUUGUUUCCGGCUCAUUGCUAACAGUUGCUGAUGUGGUUGUGCCCAGUGCAGUUGUUGGCAAUGCUGAUGUCACCUGUACAAAUGUAGAAGCUUUGGGUGUAGUAGCAGACUCUAUUAGGCCUGUUGUUGUUGUCGCUGUAUCUUCUGUUGUAGUUAUUCUGAUUGUUUCUCGCUCUUUGCUAACAGUUGCUGAGGUGGUUGUGCCUAUUGCAGUUGCUGGAAAUGCUGAUGUUGAUUCUAUUGAUGUUAACAUAGUUGCACUUCUUGUCUCUGCAGCUGUAAAUAUAUCAUUAGAUGAUGGUAUUUUUGUUGUUGGUGAUGCUGUUUCUGUUUCAGACACUGUUGUUUUACUUGGUGUUAUUGGAUCAGUUUUGGCUGUUAAAAGUUCUGUUGUGACUUGAGGAGAUGAUGCAGAUUGUAAUGCACUGAUUGUCACUGCCUCUGUUGUAGCUACUGUUUGUGUAGGCUGAAGUGUUG